AGAGUUUGAUCCGUGGCUCAGAACGACGCUGGCGGCAGGCCUAACACAUGCAAGUCGAGCGCCCCGCAAGGGGGAGCGGCGGACGGGUGAGUAACGCGUGGGAACGUGCCUCUUGCUACGGAAUAGCCUCGGGAAACUGGGAGUAAUACCGUAUGUGCCCUACGGGGGAAAGAUUUAUCGGCAAGAGAUCGGCCCGCGUUGGAUUAGGUAGUUGGUGGGGUAAUGGCCUACCAAGCCGACGAUCCAUAGCUGGUUUGAGAGGAUGAUCAGCCACACUGGGACUGAGACACGGCCCAGACUCCUACGGGAGGCAGCAGUGGGGAAUAUUGCGCAAUGGGCGAAAGCCUGACGCAGCCAUGCCGCGUGAGUGAUGAAGGCCCUCGGGUCGUAAAGCUCUGUCGGGAGGGACGAAGGGUGGCAACACUCUGACGGUACCUCGCAAGAAAGCACCGGCUAACUCUGUG
rnacentral:rRNA from 1 species